rnacentral:rRNA from 1 species
UACGUAGGGUCCAAGCGUUAUCCGGAAUUACUGGGCGUAAAGAGUUGCGUAGGCGGCAGAGUAAGCGGGUAGUGAAAUUGUGUGGCUCAACCAUACACCCAUUAUCUGAACUGCUCAGCUAGAGGACGAGAGAGGUAACUGGAAUUCCCUGUGUAGGAGUGAAAUCCGUAGAUAUAGGGAGGAACACCGAUGGCGUAGGCAGGUUACUGGCUCGUUCCUGACGCUCAGGCACGAAAGCGUGGGGAGCAAACGGG